CAAUCUGAGGAUUUCAGAGCAGAUUUCUCAUGCUGCUUCAGUACUCAUCAUUCAAUGAAUUAUACUUCAGAUCAUCAGCUGAGUUGUAUCAUUUCAGAAUGAUUUAUCAAAAUGUCUCAGCUUUGACAGCUGUCUCUUCUAUGAUCUGAUUCUCAAUCAUCAGAGAAAAUGCUCUGAGAUUGAGUUUCAGCUUAUAUCAUGCUAUCACUCAGUACAGAUCUCUGUCAUCUCUGAUUUCAUUGAUCAUCUGUUUUCAGUAUAUAUAUUUGAUCUUGCAUACUGUGUUCUUGAACUGAUACUUUGUGAUCUC
rnacentral:sRNA from 1 species